UUGUGAUAAUAUCCUUUCUCCUGCACCCUACCUUUCUGAUACUCUAGCUGAGAGUAAACCAAGGUCGCCACCAUUUUCUCUGAAGAAUCUAACACCAUGACAAAAAAAAUCCAAAAUUGCUUGGUCCAUUUACAAAAAAGCUUUUAUCUGUGAACUCUCCCAACAUUUUUCUUUUAUAUUCUGUGAAAGAUUCAAUUUUCUGCUAUAAAAAGGCACAAAGAAAAGCAUAUAGCAUAACUGCAGCCCUUCUAAAGGCUUUUCAUGCUGGAUGGUGUGGGGGUAGGUUGAAAUAGGGUAGAGGGAGUGAAGAUGAAGAGCAAAGCCUCCCUUUUGAACCAAUGGGACUAUAAGCUGGGAGAGACCAGUGGUAUUCACAUAUUCUUUGAUCAGAGAGAGUCUUAAUUCUUCCCAGGAUUUUCCUGAGAAGCUGUGAGAAAGAUCAAGGAAAAACAAUUCUUGUCUUCACUUGCUGCAUCUGUUGUUUAGCACAUGUGGAAUAUGUUAUGGAGAUUGAUUCCCAAAAGGUCGUUUCUUAAUUGGACACUGGUGAGGGGUGUUUUAAUUGAUUGACCAAUUAGGUCAAAGCUGUGUUGUGACUGACUGUAAGGGUCACGGCUUUUUUUCUUUAGUAUAGUAUAGCACAGAGUUAGUGUAGUAUAGUAUAGUAUAGUAUAGCUUAAUAAGGCAUUUGUUCAGCCUUCUGAAAUCAUGGAGUCAAGGCACUUUACUCCCUACCACAAUAAGGGCUAGCAAAGGUUUGGAGGAGCAGAGGUGCCAUGUUCUGGUGGACCCCUAGUAACGUUGGGCAUGGAGAAAUCAAGCUGCUGUGCAGUGGACUCAAAGCACCUGAGGGGAAGGAAUUGCACAGCCUGGCUCUGUGCAAUUCUCCAGCCAGGAUGAAGGACUUUAUCUGGGCUUGUUUACUGGAAAAGAAGGUAACUGUGGAUUGGAUUGGAUUGGAAAAGAACAUGGUUUUUCAGCCAGCAGGGAAGACUUCCAUUUACAGAAUAAAUGGAGAUACAUUAGAAAUAGCACACUUGAACAGCAAUGAAGGUGCAACAUCAAAAAGGUAUCACAGGAUAGAAGGUUCUGAGAUGCUACCAGGAGGCCUAGGACCCCAAGACUGACACCUGGUACAAGUUUCUGGAAUCAUUACAGUAAGACGCAUUCCCAGAAGCAUGUGGGAUUCAAACCUUGG